rnacentral:lncRNA from 1 species
AUGGCCGCUACCACGGCUUUGGGGGAAGCCGCGCGUGGACUCGUGGCCGGGGGGCCCCGCCGCCCUAAUCGCCGCCCGCACCCACGUCUGUACCCGGUCCCGACGCGCUAUCUGCCCCCGCGCCGGCCGGCCUCCCGCACUUAUCUGCGCGCGCCCGCCGGCCUCACCUGCCCAACUCCCGGCCCGGGGUCAGGGUGUAGGCGUCCUGAAAGGGCUCGGUGCGCACAGCGGUGCGGAUCUCCGUCAGCAGCCCGCGGGCCUGGGUCGGGGGCGGCGGCCGCCGCGGCGCGCCCAGACCCCGGCCAGCCCGACCCGNGCCGGAGGCGGCGGCCGGGGAAGAGCCGCCGCUGCCCGGCUUCUCGAGAGGAAUCAUGGCGCUCGGGCGUGCUUUUCUUGCCUGCCACCCGGCUCGCUCGGAGCUCCCGGCGGGUAACGGCCCCGCCUCCAGCUGCCCCGAGCCGGCGCGAGGAUGCCACCCGCUCUGCCCGGAGCUGCGCACAGACUGCGGCCGGCUGCCUCCAGGCCGCCUGGCCCCGCCCCACGUCCGGCCCCGCCUCUCCCCUGCCCCCCGGGGAGCUCCCUUGGGUUCCUGAGGGCCGCGUGCCUCGCGCGCGCCCUCUGCAGCUGAGGGGGAGAAGGUGCAGCCUGGCGGGGGGCCCGGCGGCAGGCCCCGACAAUCUGCAGGCGACUCACAGCACCACCCUUCUGACUGGAGGACCCGCUGCGUCAGCCAGUUACGCACCUGCUAAGCAUCUGAGUGUUGCAAAUCUGAGCCCUACAUUAAUGAAAAUGCGUAGGAGCUACCAGCCAGAGCUUCACGAUCCCUUCCCUUGGGCGGGUCAGGAGAGGUGAUGAUCAGGGCCGAUCAGGGCUGCUGUACAGCACGUGGAAGUUGCCUGGGGCAUCUGGUACAUUCCCACACUGAGAGGAGGACAUGAAGGCAAGAGAUGGAUAAAUAUUUUUAAACCCGCAUACCAGCCCUACAGUCUUCUCUAUAUUUAACUUUCAAGGUGCUCUCAUCCGGUCUUGAGGUUUUAAUUACAUCCGUAUGCUCACGACUACAAAAUUUUUAUCUCUAGUUUCCAACCAUUCUCUGAACUUCACACUCAUAUAUUGAAGUAUACACUUGGCAUCACCAGUUGGAUAACAAAUUAGCAUUUCAAAUUUAACGAGCAGAAGUCAUCUCCUCAUCAUCCUUCAUAAAUGCAGUCCCACCAAGUUUCCCCACCUCAGUAAAUGCCAUUUCCAUCCUUCCAGUGGUUCAAGCCAAAAACCUUGGGGUCAACAUUGACUCCUCUCUUUCUCUCAUACCCCUCAUCCAUUUUGUAAGAAAUCCUCUUGGCUUUACCUUCAAAACAUAUCCAGAAUCUGAUCACUCCUCUCCAUUUCCCCAUGACCACAACUACCAUUCUCUCUGGUCUGGAUUAUUGUGAUAGCUCCCUAACUAGGCUAUCUGCUACCAUCCCUCUUCCUCCUCAAUUCCAUAUCACUUAUUUUUGAGGCCACCAGAGUGAUCUUUUAAAAAAUCUAAAUUAGAUCAUGUCAUUCCUCAGAGUUUUGCUUCUGGCAAUGAUGAGUUAGUCUAUGUGUGAUCAAUACUCUCACUGAGAAAGUUGGCAAAUUUUUUCAAAUUAGAUAGUCCUCUACUUGAAACAUCAGAGAGUUUCAAAAGCAGCAAGAACUUGAACCACCGAGAUCCAGACAAGAAGGGCAGCCCAGAAUGGCACCCCUUUCCCGUGAAGCAUUUGGUAAUUCCAAAGCAAUGACUGAAAGGGUGAGAAAAUAAGCAGGGCUUUUAGGUGUCUCAUCAGGCUGGAGAGGCAAAGAAUUGGAGUUUAGGGAUCUGCUAAGAAGAAGGAGCUGGUAGACACUCUAGACUUGUAGUUGACACCCCAAAGUGCUACAUCUUAGGAGUACUGGUAAAGGGAAAUAGACAAGCUCUCUCAAGGACUGAAGAACAGCUUCAAAACGCAAUAGAAAAUCCCCUCUGGAGGAAAACACCAUCAUCCAAGGUCAACAUUAUCUCUACAAUAUUUCAUACACAAUGUCGGGCACUUAAUUUAAAAGGGGGGCACACAAGAAGAAUUAUCUUAGAAACUGAGAGAAAAAGAUAGAAAAUAGAAAAAGUAAUAAACAGGAAGAAGAUGCAGAUAAUGAAUUUUAAAGACAUAUUUUAAAUAAUUGUGUUUAAUAUCUUCAAGAAAUUAAAUUAUAAGAUAGGGAAUUUCAGCA